UACGGGGGGGGCAAGCGUUGUUCGGAUUUACUGGGCGUAAAGGGCGCGUAGGCGGCCACGACAAGUCACUUGUGAAAUCUCCGGGCUUAACUCGGAACGGUCAAGUGAUACUGUCGGGCUAGAGUGCAGAAGGGGCAACUGGAAUUCUCGGUGUAGCGGUGAAAUGCGUAGAUAUCGAGAGGAACACCUGCGGCGAAGGCGGCAUCCUGGACCAAUACUGACGCUGAGGAGCGAAAGCCAGGGGAGCAAACGGG
rnacentral:rRNA from 1 species